rnacentral:rRNA from 1 species
AGAGUUUGAUUAUGGCUCAGGAUGAACGCUAGCUACAGGCCUAACACAUGCAAGUCGAGGGGCAGCAUGGAGCUUGCUUGCAAGCUCUGAUGGCGACCGGCGAAUGGGUGAGUCACGCGUGUCCAACCUGCCCCGCGCCCGGGGAUAGCCCUUGGAAAUGAGGAUUAAGACCCGAUACGUGCGUUGUCCGCAUGGACGUCGCAUGAAACCAGGCACGGGAUGGGGACGCGUCGGAUUAGCUUGACGGCGGGGCAACGGCCCACCGUGGCGACGAUCCGCAGGGGUUCUGAGAGGAAGGUCCCCCACACUGGCACUGAGACACGGGCCAGACUCCUACGGGAGGCAGCAGUGGGGAAUAUUGCACAAUGGAGGAAACUCUGAUGCAGCGACGCCGCGUGAGUGAAGAAGUAUUUCGGUAUGUAAAGCUCUAUCAGCAGGAAAGAAAAUGACGGUACCUGACUAAGAAGCCCCGGCUAACUACGUGCCAGCCGCCGC